rnacentral:rRNA from 1 species
CGUCUAUAUACGUAUAGCAUAUCAAUAAGCGGAGGAAAAGAAACUAACAAGGAUUCCCUUAGUAACGGCGAGUGAAGCGGGAAGAGCUCAAAUUUGAAAUCUUCAAGGUUUUACCUUGACGAAUUGUAGUUUAAAGAAGUGUUUUCUGUUGAGAGUUUUGGUAAAAGUUCUUUGGAAUAGGACAUCAUAGAGGGUGAGAAUCCCGUAUUUGACCAUUAUUUUCAGCUGUGUGAUACACUUUCAAAGAGUCGGAUUGUUUGGGAAUGCAGUCCAAAAUGGGUGGUAAAUUUCAUCUAAAGCUAAAUAUUGGCGAGAGACCGAUAGCGAACAAGUACCGUGAGGGAAAGAUGAAAAGAACUUUGAAAAGAGAGUUAAACAGUACGUGAAAUUGUCAAAAGGGAAGCGUUUGACACCAGUGUUGUUUUUCCGAAAAUCAAUUACGAAUGUUUUGUUUUUGAGAAGUUAUGACUUCAUCGGCUUGCUUCUCUCUUUACGAAACUUUCUUAAUGCACUUUUCGGUUAACAAGUCAACAUCAAUUUCUUUUGUUGUAAAAGGGUAUGAGGAAGGUGGCUUUCUUUUCGGAGAAAGUGUUUAUAGCCUUGUACCUCUGCAAUCGGAGAGAUUGAGGUCUGCAGCGUAGAUCCUUCGGGGUUAGAUACAUUUGUGCUAAGUUAUAGCUUUUCAUAGACAACUUGUUGACUAUGUUAAGUCUUGUAGCUUACUCGCUUAUGCUAUUUUACCUACGCUUAGGAUGUUGAUAUGCAUGACUGAUAU